AGCAUGGCCCUGUGCAAGAAUGACACAAAUGGAGAAAUGGUUCAAAUCUUUUUCUCCGUUUUGACCCUAACCUGGCAAACCACUUUUACUAAAAUCCCCUCGAAUACUCCCUUUACCCACUAAUACCCCUGCCGGCCAAACUCAACCAAGUUAUGGUUCUGGGUUUUGUGUUCUCAAUCGUUGGUUCUCGUCGUUUCACGACGUAGAAGCUGGUCUGCGGGCUUUAAAGACAAUUUUUUUCGGUGUUUCGAGAGGGCUAAAGUCUUAAUAAGAAACAGAGAUGCCGCAUAGAACACGACCUAUGACGGCCCUUUUGGUGUUUACUGGACUUAAUGUCGUUCUAGUGUCAACCAUAACUCCUGUCUAUGAUUUCGUGUGCUUCCUUCCUUAUUGGGAAAGAAGGUUAUGUUAUUUAUAAUCAUUCUUUAUUAGCUAUUGUGGUACAGAUUUGUGACCUACACAAUUUACUGUUCUAGUGCUAUAAACAACUUUCCUUUUUUUGUUUUUUCGGAACAGAGAUGAAACGAUUUUGGUUAAUUGAUAAUACUUCUACAUC